AACGUGAUGGCGUCAGGGGCCGGGGCGCUGCUUCCUGUUGUCAGUGGCCGAGAGACCGCAUCGUCGGCUCGGAGGCUGAGGGGCUGCCGCAGCCGGGAGCCCCCCUCGCCUCGCUCCUCGCUCCGCUUGGUGUCAUGUGAUUCUCUGAGGGAGCAGCUGCGUGAGUGGAGAUGCUUUCAGUGGUGGAGAAUGGACUGGACCCCCAGGCUGCCAUCCCGACACAUCAUCUCAGAGUUGGAGCACCUGACGUUUGUCAACAUGGAUGUGGGCCGCUGCCGGGCAUGGCUGCGGCUGGCCCUGAACAAUGGCCUGAUGGAGUGCUACCUGAAGCUGCUGCUGCAGGAGCAGGCCCGCUUGCAACUACAGCGGAAGGAAUCUCUGGAUUCCAUUUCCCAUUCUUCAGGCUCUGAAGACAUCGAAGUCCAUCACUCGGGCCAUAAGAUACGGAGGAACCAGAAGCCGACUGCCUCCUCCCUCAGCCUGGACACGGCCAGUUCAUCCCAGCUGUCCUGCAGCCUAAACUCUGAUAGCUGCUUACUCCAAGAGAAUGGCUCCAAGAGUCCAGACCAUUGCGAGGAGCCCAUGUCCUAUGACUCAGACCUGGGCACAGCAAAUGCUGAGGACUCAGACCAGUCUCUGCAAGAAAAAACAAGAGCUGGAUCUCAGAGGAUGACUUCUACCGGCCUUCCCGGGAGCAACCCCUGAAGAGUGCUUCAGACCACCCAAUAGCUUCUUACAGGGGGACUCCAGAGUCAAGGCCUGGUCUCCACAGGCAUUUUUCUCAAGAACCAAGAAAAAACUGCUCCCUGGGGGCGUUAGACCAAGCGUGUGUACCUUCCCCAGGAAGAAGGCAAGCCCAGGCAGCCCCAUCCCAGGGGCAUAAGAGUUUCCAGGUGGUACACCGGAGGCAGAUGGGACUGUCCAACCCAUUCCAGGGUCUCAUGAAGCUGGGCACCGUGGAGCGGCAGGGGGCAAUGGGCAUCUGGAAGGAGCUCUUCUGCGAGCUCUCCCCACUGGAGUUCCGCCUCUACCUGAGCAACGAGGAGCACACCUGUGUGGAGAACUGCUCCCUGCUUCGCUGUGAGUCUGUGGGGCCAGCCCACAGUGACGGGCGCUUUGAGCUGGUCUUCUCUGGCAAGAAGCUGGCCCUGCGCGCCUCCUCCCAGGACGAAGCUGAGGACUGGCUGGACCUGGUGCGGGAGGCCCUGCAGAAGGUCCGGCCUCAGCAGGAGGAUGAGUGGGUGAACGUGCAGUACUCAGACCAGCCUGAGGAACCCCCCGAGGCGCCCCAGGGCUGCCUCUCUCCCUCAGACCUGCUCUCGGAGCCCGCGGCCCUCCAGGGCACACAGUCUGACUGGUCGUCCGCCCAGGUUCCAGAGCUAGAUGCCAUCAAGGAGUCCCUGCUGUACUUGUACAUGGACAGGACCUGGAUGCCCUAUAUAUUUUCUCUGCCCUUGGAGGCUCUGAAAUGUUUCCGCAUCAGGAACAAUGAGAAGAUGCUGAGUGACAGCCACGGCGUGGAGACCAUCCGGGACAUCCUGCCAGACACCAGCCUUGGGGGCCCAUCCUUCUUCAAAAUCAUCACGGCCAAGGCUGUCCUGAAGCUGCAGGCCGGAAACGCCGAGGAAGCCGCCCUGUGGAGGGAUCUGGUCCGCAAAGUCCUGGCAUCCUACUUGGAGACAGCCGAGGAGGCGGUGACCCUGGGCGGGAGCCUGGAUGAAAACUGUCAGGAGGUGCUGAAAUUUGCCACCCGGGAGAAUGGCUUCCUGCUGCAGUACCUGGUGGCCAUCCCCAUGGAGAAAGGCCUUGACUCCCAAGGCUGCUUCUGCGCAGGCUGCUCCCGGCAGAUCGGCUUCUCCUUUGUACGACCCAAGCUCUGUGCCUUCUCUGGCCUCUAUUACUGUGACAUCUGCCACCAAGACGAUGCCUCAGUGAUUCCGGCCAGGAUCAUCCACAACUGGGACCUCACCAAGCGCCCGAUCUGCAGGCAGGCCCUGAAGUUUCUGACGCAGAUCCGGGCCCAGCCCCUCAUCAACCUGCAGAUGGUGAACGCGUCUCUGUACGAGCAUGUGGAGCGGAUGCACCUCAUUGGGAGGAGCCGGGAGCAGCUGAAGCUCCUGGGGGAUUACCUGGGCCUGUGCCGGAGUGGCGCCCUGAAGGAGCUCAGCAAGAGGCUCAACCACCGGAAUUAUCUCUUGGAGUCUCCGCAUAGGUUCCGUGUUGCUGACCUCCGGCAGAUCGCAGAUGAGGUAUAUGAAGGAUUCCUCAAGGCCCUGAUUGAAUUUGCCUCCCAGCAUGUCUACCACUGCGACCUGUGCACCCAGCGCAGCUUCAUCUGCCAGAUCUGCCAGCACCACGACAUCAUCUUCCCCUCUGAGUUUGACACCACAGUCAGGUGUGCCAAGUGCAAGACCGUCUUCCACCAGAGCUGCCAGGCUGUGGUGAAGAAGGGCUGCCCCCGCUGUGCUCGCUGACGCAAGUACCAGCAACAGAACGUUUUCGCCUGAUGCCCCUCUGCUGAUCCCACUCUGAAGGCCGGGGGUGAGUGUGGCUCAGCCAUCCCAGCUGGGUUUCCUAUCAGCCCAGGAUACUCACCGUGUCACAGCUGUGUCCCCUUGUCAGGAAGACCUCAGAUGUGACCAGAGCACUGGCCUCCUACAGAAAGCCCAGGAAGUCCCCAUGAUGUCCCCUGGCCCUCCCCCCACCCCUCUGCUGCAGGAGGCGUGGCCACCACCAGAUGCUCCCUGUCUGGGGCAGGCAGGGCCGUUUACUCACCAGGCCCUGGCUCACCAGCGUCCCGGCGCCUCCGUUAGGGCUGGCCAAACACUGUGGAAAGGGGACUUGGGGAACAUUUUCAAUUCCACAUUCCUGAUUAAAAGGUCUGGUUUUUUAAGGUGGGUUUUUCCCAUUCAUAUUUCAACA